UACGAAGGGGGCUAGCGUUGCUCGGAAUCACUGGGCGUAAAGGGUGCGUAGGCGGGUCUUAAGUCAGGGGUGAAAUCCUGGAGCUCAACUCCAGAACUGCCUUUGAUACUGGCGGCCUUGAGUCCGGGAGAGGUGAGUGGAACUGCGAGUGUAGAGGUGAAAUUCGUAGAUAUUCGCAAGAACACCAGUGGCGAAGGCGGCUCACUGGCCCGGUACUGACGCUGAGGUGCGAAAGCGUGGGGAGCAAACAGG
rnacentral:rRNA from 1 species